UAGGUUGUCCGGAGCAGAUCCGGCCAGAACCUCUGCUGUAGGCUGACUGGAAGGUCACUGACUGGAAGGUCAGCCUAGAGGACAGCUCCUUUCUGACAACGGGGUCAGUUCGGAGUAGAGGCUCGGACCGGCUCUCCUCUGAGCUACAUGAGGACUAUCAGCUUUCUCUAAAGGGGGAACCCGUGUAAGGGAUUGGCUGGAAAGCUAGGUUGUUCGGAGCAGAUCCGGCCGGAACCUCUCCUCUAGGCUGACUGAAGGUCACUGAAGGUCAGCCUAGAGGACAGCUCCUUUCUGACAAUGCGUCAGUCUGGAGUAGAGGCUCGGACCGGCUCUCCUCUGAGCUACAUGAGGACUAUCAGCCCUUCUCAGGCCUGGAGCCGCGGGGACCAGGUUCAGACCUCCUCUGGAGAGAGAGAGCCUGGUUAGUCUCAGGACUGGUCGGCCGGAUUGGCUGAGAGAAUGAUGAAGUAACAGUUCUGGUCAACGACCAAUGAUCAUGACUCAUUGUUGCUCUUUCAAAAUGAAAAGCGGAGAACAGUUUUCUGUUUACGUUUUCUUUCUUAACUUACCCUGUAAAGUCCAAAU